ensembl:snRNA U5 U5 spliceosomal RNA
GACUUUUGGUUUCUCUUUCAAUACGCAUAAGUCUUUCGCCUUUUACUAAAGACUUCCGUGGAGAGGAACAACAAUGAGUUGACCAUAUUUUUGGCAAGGCUCUGCCAAUUGGCUGAGCCU